rnacentral:misc_RNA from 1 species
UGGUUCUGGCAUCGAUGAAGAACGCAGCGAAAUGCGAUAAGUAAUGUGAAUUGCAGAAUUCAGUGAAUCAUCGAAUCUUUGAACGCACAUUGCGCCCAUCAGCAUUCUGAUGAGCAUGCCUGUUCGAGCGUCAUUUCAGCCCUCAGGCUCCGGCCUGGUGUUGGGGCCCUGCGGUAGCACGCAGGCCCCGAAAGACAGUGGCGGGCUUCGCAAGACCCCGAGCGUAGUAAUAUUUUUCUCGCUCCAGGGCGUCCGGCGGGCCACCCAGCCGUUAAACACGCUGUAUAGCAAUUUUAUAGUUGACCUCGGAUCAGGUAGGAAUACCCGCUGA